rnacentral:rRNA from 1 species
GUACACGCUGUGACUAGCAUAUCAAUAAGCGGAGGAAAAGAAACUAACAAGGAUUCCCCUAGUAACGGCGAGUGAAGCGGGAAGAGCUCAAAUUUGAAAUCUUAAAGGGUUUCCCUUUACGAAUUGUAGUUUAAAGAAGUGUUUUCUGUUGAGGUUUUGGUAAAAGUUCUUUGGAAUAGGACAUCAUAGAGGGUGAGAAUCCCGUAUUUGACCUUUACUUUCAACUUUGUGAUACACUUUCAAAGAGUCGGAUUGUUUGGGAAUGCAGUCCAAAAUGGGUGGUAAAUUUCAUCUAAAGCUAAAUAUUGGCGAGAGACCGAUAGCGAACAAGUACCGUGAGGGAAAGAUGAAAAGAACUUCGAAAAGAGAGUUAAACAGUACGUGAAAUUGUCAAAAGGGGAAGCGUUUGACACCAGUGUUGUUUUUCUGGAAAUCAAUUAAAGAACUGUUUAUGCUAAGCUGUUUAGACUUUAUCAGCUAUACUGUUUAGUUUUGAGCUUUUCUUUAAUGCACUUUUCAGUUAACAAGUCAACAUCAAUUUCUUUUGCUGUAAAAAAGCUUGAGGAAGGUGGCUUGAGAUUCGUCUUAAGUGUUUAUAGCCUCUUGCCUAUGCAGUCGGAGAGAUUGAGGUCUGCAGCGUAGAUCCUUCGGGGCUAAAUGCAUUUGUGCUAAGUUAUAGCAUUUUAUAGACAACUUGUUGACUAUGAUUUGUCUUGUAGCUUACUCGCUUAUGUUAUUUUACCUACGCUUAGGAUGUUGAAGAUGUAGCACAUCAU